rnacentral:rRNA from 1 species
GAUGAACGCUGGCGGCGUGCCUAAUACAUGCAAGUCGAGCGAACAGACGAGGAGCUUGCUCCUCUGACGUUAGCGGCGGACGGGUGAGUAACACGUGGAUAACCUACCUAUAAGACUGGGAUAACUUCGGGAAACCGGAGCUAAUACCGGAUAAUAUAUUGAACCGCAUGGUUCAAUAGUGAAAGACGGUUUUGCUGUCACUUAUAGAUUGGAUCCGCGCCGCAUUAGCUAGUUGGUAAGGUAACGGCUUACCAAGGCAACGAUGCGUAGCCGACCUGAGAGGGUGAUCGGCCACACUGGAACUGAGACACGGUCCAGACUCCUACGGGAGGCAGCAGUAGGGAAUCUUCCGCAAUGGGCGAAAGCCCGACGGAGCAACGCCGCGUGAGUGAUGAAGGUCUUCGGAUCGUAAAACUCUGUUAUUAGGGAAGAACAAAUGUGUAAGUAACUAUGCACGUCUUGACGGUACCUAAUCAGAAAGCCACGGCUAACUACGUG